rnacentral:rRNA from 1 species
AUUGAACGCUGGCGGAAUGCUUUACACAUGCAAGUCGAACGGCAGCACGGACUUCGGUCUGGUGGCGAGUGGCGAACGGGUGAGUAAUGUAUCGGAACGUGCCCAGUCGUGGGGGAUAACGUAGUGAAAAUUACGCUAAUACCGCAUACGAUCUAUGGAUGAAAGCGGGGGAUCGCAAGACCUCGCGCGAUUGGAGCGGCCGAUAACAGAUUAGGUAGUUGGUGGGGUAAAGGCCCACCAAGCCAACGAUCUUUAGCUGGUCUGAGAGGACGACCAGCCACACUGGAACUGAGACACGGUCCAGACUCCUACGGGCGGCAGCAGUGGGAAAUUUUGGACAAUGGCGAAAGCCUGAUCCAGCCAUUCCGCGUGCAGGAUGAAGGCCCUCGGGUUGUAAACUGCUUUUGUACAGAACGAAAAGGUUUCUACUAAUACUAGGAGCUCAUGACGGUACUGUAAGAAUAAGCACCGGCUAACUACGUGCCAGCGGCCGCAGUAA